rnacentral:rRNA from 1 species
UACGGAGGGUGCAAGCGUUAUCCGGAUUCACUGGGUUUAAAGGGUGCGUAGGUGGGUUGGUAAGUCAGUGGUGAAAUCUCCAGGCUUAACUUGGAAACUGCCAUUGAUACUAUCAAUCUUGAAUACCGUGGAGGUCAGCGGAAUAUGUCAUGUAGCGGUGAAAUGCUUAGAUAUGACAUAGAACACCAAUUGCGAAGGCAGCUGGCUACACGAAUAUUGACACUCAUGCACGAAAGCGUGGGGAUCAAACAGG